rnacentral:rRNA from 1 species
GAUGAACGCUGGCGGCGUGCCUAAUACAUGCAAGUCGAGCGAACAGACGAGGAGCUUGCUCCUCUGACGUUAGCGGCGGACGGGUGAGUAACACGUGGAUAACCUACCUAUAAGACUGGGAUAACUUCGGGAAACCGGAGCUAAUACCGGAUAAUAUAUUGAACCGCAUGGUUCAAUAGUGAAAGACGGUUUUGCUGUCACUUAUAGAUGGAUCCGCGCCGCAUUAGCUAGUUGGUAAGGUAACGGCUUACCACGGCAACGAUGCGUAGCCGACCUGAGAGGGUGAUCGGCCACACUGGAACGGAGACACGGUCCAGACGCCUACGGGAGGCAGCAGUAGGGAAUCUUCCGCAAUGGGCGAAAGCCUGACGGAGCAACGCCGCGUGAGUGAUGAAGGUCUUCGGAUCGUAAAACUCUGUUAUUAGGGAAGAACAAAUGUGUAAGUAACUAUGCACGUCUUGACGGUACCUAAUCAGAAAGCCACGGCUAACUACGUG